rnacentral:rRNA from 1 species
GACGAACGCUGGCGGCGUGCCUAACACAUGCAAGUCGAACGGAAAGGCCCUGCGUUUGUGGGGUGCUCGAGUGGCGAACGGGUGAGUAACACGUGAGUAUCCUCCCCUUGACUUUCGGAUAACUUCAGGAAACUGGGGCUAAUACCGGAUAGGAGCUCCUGCUGCAUGGUGGGGGUUGGAAAGAUUCGGCGGUUGUGGAUGGACUCGCGGCUUAUCAGCUUGUUGGUGAGGUAGUGGCUUACGAAGUCUUUGACGGGUAGGCGGCAUGAGAGCGUGACCGGCCACAUGACGCCUGCGGGAGGCAGCAGAAGGCAACGGGAGGCAGCGGUGGGGAGUAUGACGGAGUGGGGGGAAGCGUGUGGCGAAGGCGCCGGGAGCGGAAAGAUGGCUUACGGGGUAUAAACCACUUUCGAAGGAGACAAAGAGGGAGUGACGGUAAUGGGUAAAGAAGCAACGGCUAACUACGUG